rnacentral:tRNA from 1 species
CGACCAGAUAGUGCGGCUUGACCGUGCCGUCGGGUUCGGGGCCCUGCGGGAUGAAACUCCACUUCAUGCCGGUGGGGAAACCGGCCCCGCCGC